rnacentral:rRNA from 1 species
GAUGAACGCUGGCGGCGUGCUUAACACAUGCAAGUCGAACGAAGCUGCCCAAAGGAAGUUUUCGGAUGGAAUUUAGGUAGACUUAGUGGCGGACGGGUGAGUAACGCGUGGAUAACCUGCCUUAUACAGGGGGAUAACGGAGAGAAAUUUCCGCUAACACCGCAUAAGACCACAGCACCGCAUGGUGCAGGGGUAAAAUAUUUAUAGGUAUAAGAUGGAUCCGCGUCCGAUUAGCUAGUUGGUGAGGUAAAGGCCCACCAAGGCGACGAUCGGUAGCCGGCCUGAGAGGGUGAACGGCCACAUUGGGACUGAGACACGGCCCAAACUCCUACGGGAGGCAGCAGUGGGGAAUAUUGGACAAUGGGGGAAACCCUGAUCCAGCGACGCCGCGUGAGUGAAGAAGUAUUUCGGUAUGUAAAGCUCUAUCAGCAGGGAAGAAAAUGACGUACCUGACUAAGAAG